rnacentral:rRNA from 1 species
GAUGAACGCUGGCGGCGUGCCUAAUACAUGCAAGUCGAACGAAGAUCUAGCUUGCUAGAUCUUAGUGGCGAACGGGUGAGUAAUACAUAAAUAAUCUGCCCAUAUGACUGGGAUAACUAUUGGAAACGAUAGCUAAUACCGGAUAGGUUGAUCGGAGGCAUCUCUGAUGAAUUAAAGUAGGAUUUCUACACAAAUGGAUGAGUUUAUGGCGCAUUAGUUAGUUGGUGGGGUAACGGCCUACCAGGACGAUGAUGCGUAGCCGACCUGAGAGGGUGACCGGCCACACUGGGACUGGGACACGGCCCAGACUCCUACGGGAGGCAGCAGUAGGGAAUUUUCGGCAAUGGGCGCAAGCCUGACCGAGCAACGCCGCGUGAGUGAUUAAGGCCUUUGGGUUGUAAAGCUCUGUUGUAAGGGAAGAACAUUCAGGAUAGGAAAUGAUCUUGAACUGACGGUACCUUACCAGAAAGCCACGGCUAACUACGUGCCAGCCGCCGCCGUAA